rnacentral:rRNA from 1 species
UAGACGCUGGCGGCAUGCUUACACAUGCAGUCGAACGGCAGCACGGGUGCUUGCACCUGGUGGCGAGUGGCGAACGGGUGAGUAAUACAUCGGAACAUGUCCUGUAGUGGGGGAUAGCCCGGCGAAAGCCGGAUUAAUACCGCAUACGAUCUACGGAUGAAAGCGGGGGACCUUCGGGCCUCGCGCUAUANGGUUGGCCGAUUGCUGAUUAGCUAGUUGGUGGGGUAAAGGCCUACCAAGGCGACGAUCAGUAGCUGGUCUGAGAGGACGACCAGCCACACUGGGACUGAGACACGGCCCAGACUCCUACGGGAGGCAGCAGUGGGGAAUUUUGGACAAUGGGCGAAAGCCUGAUCCAGCAAUGCCGCGUGUGUGAAGAAGGCCUUCGGGUUGUAAAGCACUUUUGUCCGGAAAGAAAUCCUUGGNUCUAAUACAGNCGGGGGAUGACGGUACCGGAAGAAUAAGCACCGGCUAACUACGUGCCAGCAGCCGCGGUAAUACGUAGGGUGCGAGCGUUAAUCGGAAUUACUGGGCGUAAAGCGUGCGCAGGCGGUUUGCUAAGACCGAUGUGAAAUCCCCGGGCUCAACCUGGGAACUGCAUUGGUGACUGGCAGGCUAGAGUAUGGCAGAGGGGGGGUAGAAUUCCACGUGUUAGCAGUGAAAUGCGUAGAGCAUGUNGGAGGAAUACCGAUGGCGAAGCGCCCCCCUGGGCCCAUACUGACGCUCAUGCCGAAAGCGUGGGGAGCAAACCGGAUUGAUACCCUGGUGUCCGCCCUAACGAUGUCACUAGUGUGGGGUCCUCUCCCUUAGUACGUGUAGCGUAAGUGACGCCUGGGGUUAGGCNGCGAUAAACCAGGAUNUGGGCCCCCACGGGGGUGUGUUUUUGUGNGGAAUCUCUGGGGACCGCGGGGGGUAAAANGCCGUCGUGUUCUUUGUGCUCGGCCCUUCACGCGUGGCUCGCNGUGCGCNCUNCUUNNNGNUCNCUU